rnacentral:lncRNA from 12 species
AGCUAAUAAAAAAGUAUAAACUAGACAGAAGACGUAGCAAAUAAUGUAUGACAGGUUUCAAGUUUUUGAUCAUGUUGAUCAUUUAGAGGCCUUUUAAAAGUUGAAUAUCAAAUAUGAUACAGUAAGCUUUAUAGAGUUAAAGAUACUGUUAUUUCUCUAAAAACUAGUCUUAAUAUCUUACGCAUUGCCACUUCUCAAGUAAAUUAAUCUUGUUUUAAGGAUCAUUACAGCUAUUUUUACUGAGAAGAAUGUCAAAAAAGCCUAAUUAAAAAACUUUUAGCAGUGUACUUGCAUAAAACAUAACUAAGAACUUCAUUAAGAUUGCAAUGUUAUGCAACAGCAGCCUACACACAUUUAUACAACAGACACUUUUAUUUAAAGUCACGAAGUCAUUCCAAGCUAUAAAUAGCAUUAGUUCAUGUGUUCACUAAGAACUGAACCCACGACCUUGACGCUCUACAGGAACCUCUGAGCUAUAAGACUCAUGCAUGUCCUUCAUUCCUCUUUACUCGCUGAAAUUAACGGCAGACUUUCUCCUUUACUGUAUAAUCACAUGCACUCAUCUCUCUUUAAAUAUGCUGACUUCCCUUUUAUUAACACACCCCUCCUCCUUGUGUCCCUUUCUCUCCUCUUUGCUCCCUCGUUCCUCUCUGUCCUCCUUCUCCUCCUGUGCUUUCUCUCUUCCUUUAGAGCAUAACCACCUGAAUAACGUCACGUUUCCUUCUUUGAGUCCCGCAAUGGCUUUGUCCCAGCCUCACAACAACCUGGGCUACAACAAAUACUCCUCUCUCAAGACCAUGGAUAUUACAGCAAGGGAUUACUACCCCAAGAGCUACCCCAUGAUGGAUUACGCACACCGCCAAUCCUCGCCUGCAACCUUCCAGCCUAUUGCUUUCCACCCAAAAGACAAACCCUUUCUUCCCCCUCCGGACAUCCAUACUCCUUUGACCAUCACCAUUACGUCAGCUCAAGUCCCCAAGCCCAAGAUCUCCAAGACUAACACCCACCCGCUCACCUCGAGCUCAGCCUUCAAAGUUUGGGACCCUAACAAGAGCCAUGUCCAACAUCAGGUCCCUCUCAUGAUGCAGCCACAGCCACCUCUGUCCCAACCAAACAGUCGGCGCCAGGCCUUCUCCAACAAGCGUCAGUUUAGCAUUGAGACUCUUCCAGAGUUGUUCACUCAGCCUCUGGGGUAUGGACAGUCUCCGCACCUCCUCCCAAAACACAAGGGACUGCCCACGAACAGCAAAACAGAAGUGACGGUCUGA